rnacentral:rRNA from 1 species
AUUGAACGCUGGCGGCAGGCCUAACACAUGCAAGUCGAACGAGUGGCGGACGGGUGAGUAAUGUCUGGGAAACUGCCUGAUGGAGGGGGAUAACGACUGGAAACGGUAGCUAAUACCGCAUACCAUCGGAUGUGCCCAGAUGGGAUUAGCUAGUAGGUGGGGUAAAGGCUCACCUAGGCGACGAUCCCUAGCUGGUCUGAGAGGAUGACCAGCCACACUGGAACUGAGACACGGUCCAGACUCCUACGGGAGGCAGCAGUGGGUAAUCUUGCACAAUGGGCGCAAGCCUGAUGCAGACAUGCCGCGUCUAUGAAGAAGUCCUUCGGGUUUUAAAGUACUUGCAGCUGGGCGGCGUUGCCCGCAGAUGAACCACCCGCUAACUCCGUGCCAGCCGCCGCGGUAAUUC